rnacentral:rRNA from 1 species
AUUGAACGCUGGCGGCAGGCCUAACACAUGCAAGUCGAGCGGCAGCGGAAAGUAGCUUGCUACUUUGCCGGCGAGCGGCGGACGGGUGAGUAAUGUCUGGGAAACUGCCUGAUGGAGGGGGUAACUACUGGAAACGGUAGCUAAUACCGCAUAACGUCGCAAGACCAAAGAGGGGGACCUUCGGGCCUCUUGCCAUCAGAUGUGCCCAGAUGGGAUUAGCUAGUAGGUGGGGUAACGGCUCACCUAGGCGACGAUCCCUAGCUGGUCUGAGAGGAUGACCAGCCACACUGGAACUGAGACACGGUCCAGACUCCUACGGUAGGCAGCAGUGGGGAAUAUUGCACAAUGGGCGCAAGCCUGAUGCAGCCAUGCCGCGUGUAUGAAGAAGGCCUUCGGGUUGUAAAGUACUUUCGGCGGGGAGGAAGGUGUUGAGGUUAAUAACCUCAGCAAUUGACGUUACCCGCAGAAGAAGCACCGGCUAACUCCGUGCCAGCCGCCGCCGUAA